rnacentral:misc_RNA from 1 species
UUAAUUUUAUUUUGUAAAAGCUCAGACAGCUAUAGUUACAGAGAGUUUACAUCCCUCUGGCAGGCACCGUGACCGGCCACAGACCUCUCCCAGAGAUCGCCUGCCAAAGGAACAAUGAACUUUUGAUACAUUCACAAAGGGUUUAGGAGUUGUUUAACUCUAUAAUGAUCCCUCCGCAGGUUCACCUACGGAGA